UCCCCCCCUCCCCCCAGCAGCUGCUUGGUUCAACUGGGCACUCACCAAGCGUGUGGGCCCCGGCGGAGAGGGGGAAGGGACUGAGAUUUGGCCCGAUGGGAGUUGAUCAGUGCUGGUUCCCAGGACUGGACUGUGGGCAGGCAAGAGAUUAGGGAGUCGAGGACCGGGGCCCUGGGGAGCCAAGGACGUUAACCUUUCACGCACGGAUGAAACAAGAGGACUUUGGGAGCGACUGAGAUGGGGAAUUGGAGCCAAAGCCCAGCACAGCUCGCGGCUGCACGCGGCCGGCCCCCUCCCCUUUCUUUCAAAGGCUGAGAGGUGGGAAAGUUGAGGAACUUCUCCUCGAGGCUCUGCGGUAGUGACACCAGAAAGCUGAGGCAAAGGCCUAGGAGACCUGGGAAGUUAGGAGUGCCAGGAAACAAGACCAUGUCUCCUGCACAGCUGGAGGGGAUCAUGAUCUGACCUUCCACCAGCCUGGCCCCGUCUGCUGCCAACAUUUGGAGAUGGAACUGAGAAAGGAAAGGUGGCAGUGACGGCUAGGAAACUCAUCUGCGAUCCCGGGACAGGCCCUAGGACUCCGGGCUCACUCAUCUCUCUCCGGACUGCUAACACUCCCUGCUGCAUGAAAUCUGGGCUAAUGUGAAAUAUGAAAUAAAGAUAAGCUUAGAAAAAAAUGUCUAAAAUUAUAUAAAAGCAUUUAUUCAUUAGAAAACAAGGAGAUUGGCAAACAUACAUUCCAAAGGGAAAGCAGCUCAGCACAGUUCAGUUAGGCUAAUUUAAGAGAAAGGCCUUGCAUUUUAAAGACUGUAUAUAUUUUUUUUUAAAAGGAGACGGACAAGUAUUUUACAAGGGGCACAGAAUUAGAAUUCCAGGUCACCGUACAAGAUACCCUGCACAGGGAGGUCAGGAAUGGGCAAGGCCACUUCUAGGAUAUGAGCCUGCGAGCCGAUGCUCUGAGUAUGGGGGUUGUUUUCUUGGGUGUCUCCUCUUCUGUCAUCUCUGCUGAAAGAUCUAUGCAAAGAAUUAGAGGAAUAAGAAAAAGCUGAGUCACAAAGAUGGUGAAAAAUAGAUUUCAGAGAACAAUUGUACGCCCCACUGCAGAAAUAAAAUCCAAGCUGUACAGGGGAGGCCCUUAUGGGGCGUGGGGCAGAGCAUCUACAAGCGGCCCCCACAGCAGGUCCUAUGGAAACCAGCUCUCCACACCCUAGCUGUGUGCCUUCGGGGCGGCGGACGUGCGGGGGCAUCAUACCUUCCUCACUGGACUCAUCACUUGAGAAGACAAUUUUGGGUUUCUUUUUAGAAGCUCGCUGCUGGGUGUUUGGAUGGCGACGGGUGGUACGGCGGGGCUCUGGUGUGGCAAAGUCACCGUCUGAGGCUGCAGAAGGCAGAGGCUGGUGCCUAGAAACUAGAAAAGGUAGAAAGAUAUGAUUUUCAAAAGAAAUUUAGAAAUGAAUGCUGCAGGAGGGAAGGGCGCGGUCUGGUCUUGCCAGCACAGGCUGCCUUACGUACCAGUGGAUGAUUUCUUGGCUGACGGGGCUCUCUGGCUACCUGUUUGGCUAAUCUCAAGCUCCUCAAUUCCAUCCAAACCUCUGGUAUGACAGGCCCUAAG